GUCUAUGGCCGUGUCACCCUGAAAGCGUCCGAUCCCGUCUGAUCUCGGAAGCUAAGCAGGGUCGGGCCUGGUCAGUACUUGGAUGGGAGACCUGGUUAGCACCUGGGAAGACCAGGUGCUGUAAAAA
ensembl:rRNA 5S_rRNA 5S ribosomal RNA